UUUUGGACAAUGGGGGCAACCCUGAUCCAGCCAUGCCGCGUGGGUGAAGAAGGCCUUCGGGUUGUAAAGCCCUUUCGGCGGGGACGAAAUCGCGGGGGUGAGAAGCCUUCGUGGAUGGCGGUACUCGCAGAAGAAGCACCGGCUAACUACGUGCCAGCAGCCGCGGUAAUACGUAGGGUGCGAGCGUUAAUCGGAAUUACUGGGCGAAAGCGUGCGCAGGCGGCCCUUAAGUCAGGUGUAAAGCCCUGGGCUAACCUAGAAUGGCGCUUAAACUGGGGGGCAGGGUGCGGCAAGGGGGGUGAAUUCCUGGUGAGCGGUAAAUGCGAAGUCAGAGAACACCAUGGCAAGGAGCCCCCUGGGCGACUGCGUAUGGCAAAUCGAUA
rnacentral:rRNA from 1 species